rnacentral:ribozyme from 15 species
GUCCGGAGAGCUGUAGUCAGACUAGCGACGAAACGUGGCAUCCUUGCUGCUGCAAGUGAACUGCGCUCAAAAAUUGUGAUGAGUAGUACAGGUCGUAAAAAAACGCCGAGU